ensembl:lncRNA
CAUGUUGUCUAGCUUUGUUUCCGGUAACUGCUGUUUGGUUAGUUCCAUGGCAUGUUCAAGUUCAUGUUCAGUCAUUGUUUACUUUGUAUUUUAUUCAAGUUGGGAUCUGAUAAACUGCACAUGGGUACAGCUCAACUGGUCUUCAGUGGACUUGUUACAGUUAGAGCCAGUCUGCAGAUUUGAGUUGACAAAUUUCAUAUAAAAUCGCAUAGUGUAUGAUGGUAACCGGCUCAGAAUUAUUUUAUUUUUUUUUUGCUUCAGACUCAAACCAGUCAGAGGACAUCAAACAUGUUUGAUAUUGCUUUCAUUUGUCACAUGUCUUCUAAUUCUAAGUCUGGUAGUCAAGUCACCUUUAUUAAUAUAGUGCCUUAUACAAUUCAGAUCAUUUCGAAGCAGAUUUACAGUGAUAAACAAGGAAAUAAUGAUACAGUGAUGCAAACAGAUUUCAGUUCUGCUUGCAAAGACAUCAUUCAUUAUUCAGUUGAAAUCAGUUAAUUGUUGAUUCAGUUCAGUGCGAUAACUGCGUAAGAUUAAUCAAUUAUGAAAAAAGUUUAAUUUAAUCUAUAAAGACGCUAUGGAGAAAACAGUAAUGCCACCCAGUUCAGUUCUCAUCCUAUAGUGUCCAUGCAGACAAAAACACUGCCGAAUUUUAAGCACUGUGUGAUCCUUAGUCAUUUAGUAUAUGAUGCCCAGUUUUAUCCUCUGUAACAAAGAUAUAGGAUAGUAUUUUAAAAUACAUUUUAAAAUAUGUGUUGUAAAAGUUGUGAAUUUUAUUCCAGCCUGCAGGCUCACGAUACUUCUGGGAAACACAGCUCAGCACAAUAUCAGGAUUAACCAGCACUGGUCUAUCAUUUACCAGCAUAAACCAGCUUGGACUAGCAUGCUGGUGUCAGCUGGACUUUUUAAUUGACGAUAGGCAGUAGUCCAUCAGACACACAAGCAGACAGAGGAUGCUGAGAGACUGGCGAGUCCAGUGCCUGCCGUUAAUUCAUUCCCUGUGAAUGUGUCUAUAUACACAGUACAUGUGCACACAUUCACACACAUGCACUCAUGCAGAUCUCGUGUGACUCACUCUGGGCUAAUCAGAGUUUUAUCUCUCUCUCCCA